rnacentral:rRNA from 1 species
UACGGAGGGUGCUAGCGUUAUCCGGAAUCACUGGGCGUAAAGGGCGCGUAGGCGGUUUGUUAAGUCCGAUGUUAAAGACUGGGGCUCAACCCCAGCACUGCGUUGGAUACUGGCAGACUGGACGGUUGGAGAGGCGAGUGGAAUUACCAGUGUAGCGGUGGAAUGCGUAGAUACUGGUAGGAACACCCAUUGCGAAGGCA